GACGAACGCUGGCGGCGUGCCUAAUACAUGCAAGUCGAGCGGACCUCUUCGGAGGUCAGCGGCGGACGGGUGAGUAACACGUGGCCAACGCUCUUGUAAGACUGGGAUAACACCGGGAAACCGUCGCUAAUACCGGAUAAUCCUUUUCCACCCAUGUGGGGAAGCGGAAAGACGGCGUCUAGCUGUUACUUACAGGUUGGCCCGCGGCGCAUUAGCUAGUUGGUGGGGUAACGGGCCACCAAGUCCACGAUGGGUAGCCGACCUGAGAGGGUGAUCGGCCACACUGGGGCUGAGACACGCCCCAGACUCCUACGGGAGGCAGCAGUAGGGAAUCUUCCGCAAUGGACGAAAGUCUGACGGAGCAACGCCGCGUGAGCGAAGAAGGCCUUCGGGUCGUAAAGCUCUGUUGUCAGGGAAGAACAAGUAUCGGAGUAACUGCCGGUACCUUGACGGUACCUGACCAGAAAGCCACGGCUAACUACGUGCCAGCAGCCGCCGUAAAAC
rnacentral:rRNA from 1 species